UGGCGGCAGGCUUAACACAUGCAAGUCGAACGCCCCGCAAGGGGAGUGGCAGACGGGUGAGUAACGCGUGGGAACCUACCCAAUUCUACGGAACAACUGAGGGAAACUUCAGCUAAUACCGUAUACGCCCUACGGGGGAAAGAUUUAUCGGAGUUGGAUGGGCCCGCGUUGGAUUAGCUAGUUGGUGGGGUAAUGGCCUACCAAGGCGACGAUCCAUAGCUGGUCUGAGAGGAUGAUCAGCCACACUGGGACUGAGACACGGCCCAGACUCCUACGGGAGGCAGCAGUGGGGAAUAUUGGACAAUGGGCGCAAGCCUGAUCCAGCCAUGCCGCGUGAGUGAUGAAGGCCUUAGGGUUGUAAAGCUCUUUCAGUGGGGAAGAUAAUGACGGUACCCACAGAAGAAGCCCCGGCUAACUUCGUGCCAGCAGCCGCGGUAAUACGAAGGGGGCUAGCGUUGUUCGGAUUUACUGGGCGUAAAGCGCACGUAGGCGGAUUGUUAAGUUGGGGGUGAAAUCCUGGAGCUUAACUCCAGAACUGCCUUCAAUACUGGCAAUCUCGAGUCCGGAAGAGGUAAGUGGAACUCCUAGUGUAGAGGUGGAAUUCGUAGAUAUUAGGAAGAACACCAGUGGCGAAGGCGGCUUACUGGUCCGGUACUGACGCUGAGGUGCGAAAGCG
rnacentral:rRNA from 1 species